GUGCUUAUUUUGGCAACACAUAUAAAAAUUGGAAUGAUACAGAGAAGAUUAGCAUAGCCCCUGCACAAGGAUAACAUGCAAAUUCAUGAAGCAUUCCAUAUUUAA
ensembl:snRNA U6 U6 spliceosomal RNA